rnacentral:rRNA from 1 species
GAUGAACGCUAGCGGCAGGCCUAAUACAUGCAAGUCGAACGGUAGAUCGGGUAGCAAUACUUGAUUGAGAGUGACGUAAGGGUGCGUAACACGUAUGCAAUCUACCCUCAACAGGAGUAUAGCUCGGGGAAACUCGGAUUAACACUCCAUAACAUUACGAUGUGGCAUCACAUUGUGAUUAAAACUCCGGUGGUUGAGGAUGAGCAUGCGUCUGAUUAGUUAGUUGGAGGUGUAACGGACCCCCAAGACGAUGAUCAGUAGGGGAACUGAGAGGUUGAUCCCCCACACUGGCACUGAGAUACGGGCCAGACUCCUACGGGAGGCAGCAGUAGGGAAUAUUGGUCAAUGGGUGAGAGCCUGAACCAGCCAUGCCGCGUGCAGGAAGACGGCCUUCUGGGUUGUAAACUGCUUUUAUCUGGGAUAAAAGCCCAUGCGUGGGACAUUGAAGGUACCAGAUGAAUAAGCACCGGCUAACAACGUGCCAG